rnacentral:rRNA from 1 species
AGAGUUUGAUCAUGGCUCAGGAUGAACGCUGGCGGCGUGCCUAAUACAUGCAAGUCGAACGAGGUGCUUUUGUAGCAAUACGAGAGUAUCCUAGUGGCGAACGGGUGAGUAACGCGUUGGUGACCUACCCCAAAGUGUGGGAUAACAGUCCGAAAGGAUUGCUAAUACCGCAUGUGGUUAUUGGAUUUAGAAACCGGUAACUAAAGGAGCAAUUCGCUUUGGGAGGGACCUGCGUCCCAUCAGCUAGUUGGUGAGGUAAUGGCUCACCAAGGCGACGACGGGUAGGGGACCUGAGAGGGUGGCCCCCCACAAUGGAACUGAAACACGGUCCAUACACCUACGGGUGGCAGCAGUAGGGAAUAUUGCUCAAUGGGCGAAAGCCUGAAGCAGCAACGCCGCGUGUGUGAUGAAGGCCUUCGGGUCGUAAAGCACUUUUCUGGGAGAUGAGAAAGGACAGUAUCCCAGGAAUAAGUCUCGGCUAACUACGUGCCAGCAGCCGCGGUAAUAC